CCCAGGGCCACUGAAGAGAAAACUCCGCUUUUCAUUUAGCUGUCACUUGGCCCAAACCAGUCAAAGAUUCAUCAACAUCGUUGUGAAAAUGUCUUAAAUGGACAAUUCUUCUAGAAGACAAUUAAAAUAAGACAGAAAAGAUGGGCAACCGCUGAAAAAUAACUACCAUCAGAGUCUUCAAAUGGGACACAUUCCAGAGUUGCAUUCUAA
rnacentral:lncRNA from 1 species